UACCGGUAAAGAGGACAGUGUUAAAGA
rnacentral:sRNA from 1 species